rnacentral:lncRNA from 1 species
GACUAUAAGAAUUUGUUUCAAAGCCAAAUAGUAAAGACUGAUGGGAAACAAUAUGGACCUACCUCAUUAAAAUCUGCGCCCCUUGAAGGAGAAUGUUGAAAACAUGGAGGUCAAAGUGCUUUCCUUUCCCACGUGCUAUUGUUUGAAAGCAGACCACACUCCACUUAUGGAAGAUAUCUCUGGGGCACUCAGUGUACCUCAGCACUGUUCUAAGAGUACAGAUCUGUUAGCUGACUCAGUCCUGCUGUUAACCCUACUGACAGGUGAACAGAAAAGGCACCUAGAAAGUAACUUGUCCACGAUCACACAGCUGGCCCUGGGAGCCGGGAUCCACACAGAGGCACGCUGGCUGGAGGGCUGGGCUCUCCCUGCACGUAGGUCAGACUCAGAAAGACAAGUGUCCAUGCUUCCUCUCGGGGGACUCAGAGCAAAGUGGCAAAGGGUGCUAGGUGGGGUGGGUGUGUGCACGUAUGAGAAUGUCACAAAGAAACCCAUUAUGUGUCCAACUAUAUGCACUAGUAGUGAUAAUAAUAUGCGUCUGCUUCUAAUGUCGGGGCCAUUGUAUUCCUCUGGUUUCCAAGGGCUUCAGGCUGCUGUGUGUUUUAAACAACAGAGACGCAGGCUCUCUCCACUGCUUCUUAAGGUUCUUCAGCCUCCGAAUCAGACUGGACGUAAGGGAUGUCUCUGCCCCUGGCGAGUGUUCCUGUCCACACCCGUGGACUUCCUCUUCUAGUCUGUACUGGGGACAGCACAGGCGUCCAAGGAAGAGCAGAAUGGACCCUAAACUGCUGAGAACCUGAAGUCUGGUGCUCAAGACCAAGGAUUUCUCAAGACUCCCCCACCCAGCUGUGAGAGGAAGACUGGCUCUUGACAGUUCAAAAUGAAAUUUCUUUGCCAUGAAGGACACUGUGCUGGACAGCUGUCACAUGUCCCUUGAGAGCCACCCCUGCUCUGUCCAGCUGGCACCUGUGAGGCUGACCCGAGGUCCACAUCAGCAGUCUUCUCGCCCUCCAUCAGCCAGCCUCGUUCCUUGGCGAGAGAGACCCUGGGGACAACGGGACAGGGCAAAGUGAAGCUUGAGGGGCUUCUUCCAGCUCCUGCUCGGAGGGCUGCAGGUGGCUGAGGAGCAAGGGAAGGAGCACGGGACUCGACUGCGUCAGCACCUCUCCCCGCUGGAGUCCAAGGGUUUUCUAGGCUUGAGGCACCUGAGCACUGCAUCAUAGAGCUGUGGGUGGUCUCCCAGGAAGACCCUCCAGGGGUGGGGAGGAGGCUGUGGAGGAGCCUGCCUGGUGAAGGAGUGGUCGUGGGGACGACGGUGACCUGCAUUUAAGUGGAACAGUGAUUGUGCGGAAGUGUCCUAUCAGCCAGGUAGCAAUUCCUCUG